CCUCUCCGAGAUGAUGAAGUCAUUGCCUACCUCUUGGCUGGUCUUGGUUCGGAUUAUGAUCCAUUCGUUACAUCCAUGACCACCAAGACCGAGCCGCUCACCCUGGAUGAUGUCUACGCGCACCUGAUGUCCUUUGAGG